rnacentral:rRNA from 1 species
CCUACGGGAGGCAGCAGUGGGGAAUAUUGGGCAAUGGAGGCAACUCUGACCCAGCAACGCCGCGUGAAUGAUGAAGGUCUUCGGAUUGUAAAGUCCUGUGAUGGGGGAUGAACACAAUGACGGUACCCCAAUAGCAAGCCACGGCUAAAUACGUGCCUAGACGCGCGGUAAUACGUAGGUGGCAAGCGUUAUCCGGAAUGACUGGGCGUAAAGGGUGCGUAGGUGGGUUAGUAAGUUGGGGGGUGAAUUCGGGGGCUGAACCUCGGCGCUACCGCCAAAACUAUUAGACUAGAGUGCAGGAGGGGUAAGUGGAAUGCCUAGUGUAGCGGUGGAAUGCGUAGAUAUUAGGAAGAACACCAGGGGCGAAGGCGACUUACUGGCGUCUAACUGACGCUGAGGCACGAAGGCGUGGGGAGCGAACAGGAGUAGAUACCCUUGUAGUC